UCGUCACCUCUUGGCGGAAGUCAGCUGAUAAGGGAGCGUUGGCGUUUUUUCGCGUCUGUUUUGCUACCAGAUGAAAACUUGGCAUUCAAAUCUGUCGCUCUUCAGAAUCCAUUAUCACACAAUAUGUGGCUAUACACUUGACUGAGCACCUGUAAGAAUAUACAACUGCGACAUCAACAGCCAGACAGGGGCGACUCAGCUGAUGUCUGAGGACUCACCGGUGAACCUGGAUGUUUCCAGUUCCAAAGAGAUGGAUGGCUCUGGGACCGCUCACCGCAGCCUGACAGGAAGUAGGGCAGAGAGACUGGAAGACAUGCAGCACAUGACCCAAAGGUGGGAGUCGAACCCAGGGCAGCUGCGUUGAGGGGCAAACCUCAUCUGGGUGAACCUUCUCCAACACUGAGCCACAUGCCAUCCCUCUUCUAUACUUUCUGUUGCUGUGACACAUAAAACGCAGUAAAGUUUGUUUCUGAUGAAAACGUUGAAACUGUGCUAUGAUCCUCGAAGACACACUGCAGCUUCUCACUUCUAUUCCAGAGAUUACGGUCAAGUACCACCAACCCACUUUGCACUUCAUCUUCUCCUGCCUGCAGCUUUCUGCCUACAUGCUGAAUGCAUGCAUGUGUGAGAAUAAGAGUGUCUGUGCGUACCACCUCCUCCUCCUACAUGAAGAGGAAAACUCCUAGCACUCACUCCCUUGGGCUCUGCAUUUCCUCAGAAGUGACCUCCAGACCAGAUUCCUCUGUACUUUAAACAAGACUCCCAUUACGGCCCUCGAGGAUACAGUAACAGGUUUCCAUCGUUUGCCCUGGGAAGCUGCGAGGUAGAUGUGUGUUUGAACAUGCCUCUCUGCAGCAGUCUGUGGAGAGACGAGCAAAAGUAAGUCUGCGUGCCCCUGUGUAUAAAUCACUUGACCUAGUCGAGACUAACUGUUGACCGUGGAUUUAUGCCAGUGUGAGGAGCUGCUGACGACAACGUAUUCACCAAACGAUACACAGACUGUGCUGUCAUCCAGCAAAUAUGCUCUCUGAAUGGAACUUCAACAGAAGCCAGUGGGCGACGUUCGGGGAAAAAAACGGACGGUGCCAAGCCCAGAGUGGAUCCAUCAGCUGUGGACUCCCCCCACCCACCCAUCGCCACGGCACAGUGGAAACAGAGCGAUGCUUGAAUUAGAUCAGCCUUCAUCCACACAGUGGGUGACGCGGACAGGCAGACGGAUGCCCACUGCGAAUCAAGCCUAAGAGUAACUUUGUAGAAAAAAAAAAAGGAAAUUCAAUGCUUUGUGUUAUUAAAUGUGAGAAUGAUGAAUGUGUUAACACAUGGAGCAACAAAACGAUGCCUGUGAGGAGCCAGCAGGAAACCCAUGAACCCUAAACGGUUCCCUCGGCUGAAAAUCUGCAAAUUAUGUUGUGUUGUUUCUCUGAUAAUGCAUAGAAUAAUAACUUUUGAACUCCUUGGCAUUCAUCAAGAGAAAUGAAAGCAGGUUUUAGGGGGUCAAAUUAAAGCCAUAUGCUGCUAAAACUUGAUACACUGUAUGUGUUCCAACUGGUUCAAGGAGACAAAUCCAUGAUUCUGCCAGACUAUCACAAAGCAUAACUUCUUCCAGACAAACUGGAGCUAUCGGAGUGGGGGAGGACCUUUCCCCGUGAUGAAGUGUCCUAUCACUACGUUGUCUCUUAAAAUCGAGGGGCUCAAUUCCACUUAUAGGUGGCUGCAAGACACAGGAAAGACAUCUUAUCUGUACAGUUUGAGCUUCAUUGUGUGUGUGUCGGUGAUGUGUGUAUUUUUAACAUUAUCACCCGUCUGUAUCCGCUGGUCCAAGUUAAAUAAUGAAAGUUUUUAAAUGGUUUGUUAUGAACACAUCAGUCUUGUGUGAAGGUACUGUGAGAAAACCUUGGUGGUAUUUCAGUGAGUGAGUUUGAGUUUCAGCUAGGUUCAGUGGUUUUCAUGUUUUGAUAGAUCAUUUAGCCCUUAUGGACACUUCUACCUGAAUCUGUUCUACAACAUGCAUGGAAACCUACAUUCAAUCAGGUACAAUAGCCACUGUCUGGCUUUAAGACCCUGACAAAUGUGGUUCGGAAAGCAUUUAAUCAUUUUUGCUGUAAACCCUUUUCUGAACUCUUUUCAUCAUACGUGGUAUAAACAAGUCAACCAGAAUAUUGGUUCUGGUUGACCAACACCAACCAGUACAAGUUUUUUUAUUCCUCUUUGGUACAUGAAGGUACCAAGGAGACCGUAGACGUUGGAUUCUGUGGUAGUGUUAAGAUGGUUUCCAUUGGUUUCCAUUAAUGCAUACUACGGUAUAAUUAUAGUUGAGCUAUAAAUUAUACCGAAUAUAAAAUAUAAAAUUGUCAAUUUUAUAGGGGGUCUGGAGUAAUAGGAUUUUAACUAUUAUCAGGCCAACAUAGUUUAUCAGUUUAUCAUUGCUAACUGAUCAGAUUGAUUUUCAUACCUCUCUUCACCAACUGUGAAAUUAGUUUUUUAAAAACAUGUUUCUGUUUGAAUAUUUGUUUGGUAAAAUGUUGAUUAAAAUCCAAACUCUAAAACCCAA